rnacentral:lncRNA from 1 species
ACUUUGCUGACUGGGGUAACCCCAGUGGCUAAAACAAUUUCCAACACAUAACAUAAACUCACUAAAUAUUGAUUGAAUUAUUAAUGAAAUGGACCUCUCCUUUUAUCUUCAAACAAGCAGAAGCUUAAAUGCUCCCUGUGCAUUGAGUGGAACAAAAAUCAAAACUACCAACAAGAAUGAUAAUCGUUAAUCACUGUCUGAUGGCCACCAGGAGCAGUCGGCCAGGCCACCCUGGGCAUCGGGAUCUUGCUUCAUUGAUUUUACUUAAUAGGCUUUGUAGUCUAUCUAGCAUGAUGUCCAGAUGUACUUCCAAGGUGGGAACGGUCAAAUAUCACACAAAUCGUUGUUGAGCCUCAGACAGGAGGAAUCCAUCCAUUUGGCUCCUGAGCACACACUGCCAUUGUGAAUGUCAUCAUAAGGAAGAACAAGCAGACCUUUCACCCGAGGCUUCCGUGCCUUCGUGGUCUGACUCAUACUGAGGCUGAAGAGAUAAUGUCUGACACUCCAUUUUUGCAGACAGAACACUGGUAACAUAUUCUGAAAUCAGAAGUGCUUUUCAAACACUGUGGCUUAACCAGUGGGCACUCCAGUUAUACCUUAGUGACUUCCUUUGCAAAUCGCUUUGCGCAUCAUGACCUUGUGAGCUUGGCAUCUUAUCACAUGAGGGUUUGAGUACUACAUACAACCACAAAGGACAAUUUAUUCCUGGAAUGAGGGGCUUCCUGAAGAGCCUUGGUGACUGUGCCCUGCCCUAAGUAAGCAUUUAUGGCCUGCACUGACAUCAAAAAGCAAACAUGGUUUACGAAAUCAUAAAUUUCUACAGAGGAAAACAAAUUUCACUUAGGACCACUGUCAGCUCUAAGCAGAUUCUUCUUAUACAUUGAUUCACUUCAUAUGAAACUGC